AGUUGGUGGGGUAAAGGCUUACCAAGGCAAUGAUGCGUAGCCGAACUGAGAGGUUGAUCGGCCACAUUGGGACUGAGACACGGCCCAAACUCCUACGGGAGGCAGCAGUAGGGAAUCUUCCACAAUGGGCGAAAGCCUGAUGGAGCAACGCCGCGUGGGUGAAGAAGGUCUUCGGAUCGUAAAACCCUGUUGUUAGAGAAGAAAGUGCGUGAGAGUAACUGUUCACGUUUCGACGGUAUCUAACCAGAAAGCCACGGCUAACUACGUGCCAGCAGCCGCGGUAAUACGUAGGUGGCAAGCGUUAUCCGGAUUUAUUGGGCGUAAAGGGAACGCAGGCGGUCUUUUAAGUCUGAUGUGAAAGCCUUCGGCUUAACCGGAGUAGUGCAUUGGAAACUGGGAGACUUGAGUGCAGAAGAGGAGAGUGGAACUCCAUGUGUAGCGGUGAAAUGCGUAGAUAUAUGGAAGAACACCAGUGGCGAAAGCGGCUCUCUGGUCUGUAACUGACGCUGAGGUUCGAAAGCGUGGGUAGCAAACAGGAUUAGAUACCCUGGUAGUCCACGCCGUAAACGAUGAAUGCUAAGUGUUGGAGGGUUUCCGC
rnacentral:rRNA from 1 species